UUGGAGGGCAAGUCUGGUGCCAGCAGCCGCGGUAAUUCCAGCUCCAAUAGCGUAUAUUAAAGUUGUUGCAGUUAAAAAGCUCGUAGUUGAAUUUCGGGAUUCUACCGUUGGUCGGGCUAACAAGUCUGUACUGGUGUGUAGAAUUUCUACCUUCUGGGGAACUAUCAUGUUAUUAAUUUAGCGUGGUGGGAAACCAGGACCUUUACCUUGAAAAAAUUAGAGUGUUCAAAGCAGGCUUACGUCUGAAUACAUUAGCAUGGAAUAAUAGAAUAGGACGGUGGUCCUGUUUUGUUGGUUUCUGAAUCACCGUAAUGAUUAAUAGGGAUAGUUGGGGGCAUUAGUAUUCAAUUGUCAGAGGUGAAAUUCUUGGAUUUAUUGAAGACUAACUUCUGCGAAAGCAUUUGCCAAGGAUGUUUUCAUUAAUCAAGAACGAAAGUUAGGGGAUCGAAGACGAUCAGAUACCGUCGUAGUCUUAACCAUAAACUAUGCCGACUAGGGAUCGGACGAUGUUAAAUUUUAUUGACUCGUUCGGCGCCUUACGGGAAAC
rnacentral:rRNA from 1 species